UACGUAGGGGGCAAGCGUUGUUCGGAAUUACUGGGCGUAAAGCGCGUGUAGGCGGUCUUUUAAGUCUGAUGUGAAAGCCCUGGGCUCAACCCAGGAAGUGCAUUGGAUACUGGGAGACUUGAAUACGGGAGAGGGUAGUGGAAUUCCUAGUGUAGGAGUGAAAUCCGUAGAUAUUAGGAGGAACACCGGUGGCGAAGGCGGCUACCUGGAACGGUACUGACGCUGAGACGCGAAAGCGUGGGGAGCAAACAGG
rnacentral:rRNA from 1 species